rnacentral:rRNA from 1 species
UACGGAGGAUGCGAGCGUUAUCCGGAUUUAUUGGGUUUAAAGGGUGCGCAGGCGGCACGGCAAGCCGGCGGUCAAAUCGCGGGGCUCAACCCCGCCCAGCCGUCGGAACUGCCGGGCUAGAGUGGGCGAGAAGUGCGCGGAAUGCGUGGUGUAGCGGUGAAAUGCAUAGAUAUCACGCAGAACUCCGAUUGCGAGGGCAGCGCACCGGCGCCCUACUGACGCUCAGGCACGAAAGUGUGGGUAUCGAACAGG